rfam:Pan troglodytes isolate Yerkes chimp pedigree #C0471 (Clint) chromosome 4, whole genome shotgun sequence.
GGCUGGGAAGCCAGCCCUGGGGUCCAGAGCCAGAUGGAUGUGGGUUCAAAUCCCACCACAGCCA